rnacentral:rRNA from 1 species
GAUGAACGCUGGCGGCGUGCCUAAUACAUGCAAGUCGAGCGAACAGAUGAGGAGCUUGCUCCUCUGACGUUAGCGGCGGACGGGUGAGUAACACGUGGAUAACCUACCUAUAAGACUGGGAUAACUUCGGGAAACCGGAGCUAAUACCGGAUAAUAUAUUGAACCGCAUGGUUCAAUAGUGAAAGACGGUUUUGCUGUCACUUAUAGAUGGAUCCGCGCCGCAUUAGCUAGUUGGUAAGGUAACGGCUUACCAAGGCAACGAUGCGUAGCCGACCUGAGAGGGGGACCGGCAAACUGGGACCUGGAAAAGGGCCAAGCCCCUAAGGGAGGGAACAAGGGGGAAUUUUUCCGAAAGGGGGCAAACCCUAACGAGCCAACGCGCGUGGGGGAAGAAAGGUUUUGGGUUCUAAAACCCUUGUUUUUGGGAAAAAAAAAAUUUGUAAAAUACCAUGCUCUUCUGAGCGUUCCCAAAGAAGAAACCCGCGGUAAAUUCGUG